AGUUUUGGAUUGGCUCCUAACGGCGGAGCCUCAUUCGGGCCCGUUGGAGCUUGUCACUGACAUCAGAUUCAGGGGCGGUGCUUGGGUCCACCGAAAGUACAACUUCUGUUUGUUCGUGGAGGUGGACUUGAACGUGGUUGGAUUUUGGUGACUCCGAAACUGCACGGUAGAUUGUGCUGCCGAACAGCUGUGGUUGCUACUUCUUGUUCUUGUGCUUGCUCAUUGAGGGCAGUUCACUUAUUAGACCCGGUGGUGCCGGGGGUGCGCUGGGUUCGUACUUGCUCGCCUUCUGCAAGGUUGGUUAGCAGUAUCGCGUUUAGUACUCUUAUUGAUUGAUUUAGUUUUGUUUUGUAUAUUAUAAUCAUG
rnacentral:misc_RNA from 1 species